rnacentral:rRNA from 1 species
GACGAACGCUGGCGGCGUGCUUAACACAUGCAAGUCGAACGGCAAGGCCCUGCUUUUGUGGGGUGCUCGAGUGGCGAACGGGUGAGUAACACGUGAGUAACCUGCCCUUGACUUUGGGAUAACUUCAGGAAACUGUUGCUAAUACCUGAUAGGAGCUCCUGCUGCCUGGUGGGGGUUGGACCGUUUCGGCGGUUGGGGAUGGAUUCGCGGGUUAUCAGCUUGUUGGUUGGGUAGUUGCUUACCAAGCCAUUGACGGAUAGCCGGCCUGAGAGGGGGGCCGGGGACAAGGCGACUGAGGGACGGCCCAGACGCGUACGGGAGGCAGCAGGGGGGAGUAUUGUACAGUGAGGGGAAGCCUGAGGCAGAGACGCCGGGGGCGGGAUGAAGGCCUGCGGGGUGUAAACAGCAUUGGCCUGUGACGAAGCGUGAGUGACGGUAAUGGGUAAAGAAGCACCGGCUAACUACGUG